AUAAGAUCAACGUUGACACUUCAAAUGGCAGCGACUGAGCCUAUGGUUGACGUAGGUAUAUGGGUAAUGAAUUCAAAGCUCAUGCAUAUGCCAAUAGUCAAGGAGGUAAUUCUGGGGUUUGUAAAAGGUACAUUUUAUGAACAUUUUUGUGCUGGAAAAGACUUAAUUGAAGUACGCAGAACUGUUACUAAGCUGUCGGAUGUCGGGUUAAAAGGAAUGCUUGAUUAUGGGGUGGAACAUGCAACUGAAAAUGAGUCUUGUGAUCAGAGUAUGAAGGUUUUUCUUCAGACUGCUGAAUCAACCAAGUCACUUCCAUCCUCUUCGGUAUGAUCGAACUCAUGAAUUAAAGAUCUUUUAGGAUUUAUUUCUUGUUUAGAUCGAGCUAAUACUUCUCAUAAAUCCAAAAGUAGAGUAGGUGAAAAAUGAAAAUAUAUAGUUGGAGAGAAUAAUCCAUAGAUAACAGGAGCCAAAGUCAAAACUUUAGCAAUAUUUCUCGCCGUUAAUUAUUAAGAGCCCGUUUGGGCACGAACAUUUUUUUUCACUUUUUUUUUUAAAAAUUUUACACUUUUUUUUUGAAAUUAUUGUUUGCUCAUAAAAUUUUCAAUUUUCACUUGAAUAUGAAUUUUGGAAUUUUGCGAAAUUUGAAAAAACUCCAAAAAGUCGUUUUUCAAAAUUUGCACUCAGAUCACUCACAAAAAUUCAAAAACAACCCAAAUUAUAUUCAUGUCCAAAUACAACUCUAAUUUUCAAAUAUCAUUUUCACUUUGAAAUAUUUUUUAAAUUUUUUCGGAAUAUUACAAUUCUUAUGUCCAACCACCCAUAUGAUAAUGAAUUUUAACGUGUCUAUUGCGUAGAAUAUAAGUAGCACCCCUUAACACAAUUUAAUUGUAUUUCAACGUCUUAUUAACAAAAGACAUGAUCAUACUUUUUUCCUUUUUUUCUCCUUGAUGUACCACAUGAUCAUACUUACCCUUAUGGAGUACUAGAAAACGGUUUAAGUUUUACUACUUUAUUAUUGGAUCAAACUUUCAUUUAACCUCUUCUAACAAUUAACCGGCAAUUAAUCUUUUGACUUUGAGUAUAUAUCGGUUACUCUUAUUGGGUCAAAUAAAAAAGAUUUACUUGUAUACACUGAAAAUAUAAUUUUUUUAAUGAUAUUUUAACAUGUAGCAAUGAUCUGCUUUUUUUUCUUCAUAAUAUUAUACAAUUUUUUUUGUUUUAGUUUUGUGUUAGUUACUUCUAAUUAUCAUUUAGGAUACUGAUAUAGAAGUUAAUCUCAAUUAGAUAGACUUUAAAAGGUGUAUUGUGAUGAAACAGGUCAGCUUUGUGGUAGUGAAGAUAACAGCAAUUUGUACACCUAAGCUUCUCAAAAGAAUGAGCGAUUUGCUGAGAUGGGAACACAAGAAUCCAUCAUUCAAUCUCCCAUGGAAGCAAAAGUCCCUUCCACUUUUCUCUGAUUCCAGCCCUUUUUAUCACACUCCACAAAAGCCAGAGCCUCUAACGGUCGAAGAAGAACAUGAUCUACAAUUAGCUCAUGAAAGACUCAUGACUAUUUGCAAGAAAUGCUUAGAACUUGAUGUUGAUUUACUUAUUGAUGCUGAAGAUACAGCUAUUCAACCUGCAAUUGAUUAUUU
rnacentral:lncRNA from 1 species